GUGUUCUCCUCAAUCCCCACCAGCACGGGGACCAGAAGCACUUCUCUGGUGUGGCCGGAACGGCAGCACGGCGUUCUCCUCAGUCCCACCAGCACGGAGAACGGAAGCACUUCACCGGCGUGGCCGGAACGGCAGCACAGGCUCCCAGCCCCGCGCUGCUCUCGGACUACCGAGGGUGUAGUCCACAGGGCCUUGAAGGCUGGGGGCUGCUGCAUUGCUGCAUCCUAACUGGGCCUGGUGAGCAGAACACGGGGGUGUCCUGCCGGCCCUAGGAGCUAAACGCCACGGUGCCCUGCCCGCCCUAGGAGCAGAACACGGCAGUGUCCUAUCUGCCCUAGGAAAUACCUGUGCACGGGACACUGGGAGCCAACCCCCAGGAAGACUCAGGGACCUACCCAGGAGUGAAGACCUGGGGGAUCUAGUGACUCAGGGCAUGCCAGGACGUGUCUUCUAUGUAAACGGCAAGUUGUUGCACCUUGAAUCUUCUUCCUUUAAGAAGGAGGCACCGGCUUUGGUGGGCCUCUGUAGAUUUCAGAGAUAGCGUAUGCCACAACUGGAACGAGUUCCAACCCACCUAGUAUCAGAGCCAGAAAGUGCCUGUUUCCAGUGGGACGCAGAGCAAGGGAAGGCUCCGCAUCAGGUCCAGGCCACAGUGCAAGCUGUUGAGCCACUUGUUCUGUGGGAUCAGCAGAGUCAAUGGUUCUGGAAGUUCCUGUGGAGAGAACAGCAUGGCAGUGUUUCUGGUGAAUCCUGAUAUGACAGUCACAGAACAUCCCUUGGAGUUAUCAAGCAAGGCCGUGCCUUCAGUGCCAAAGAACCACCCUCCAUUUCAAAAGCAACUGUGGGCAUGCUUGGCGUUAGCAGAGACUGACUACGCAACUCAACGGUCAAGUGACUGUGUGAGCAGAGCUGCUGUGUGAGCUGGCUAUCAUCAGUGCACCGAGCCACAGGGUCUUGCUCUGCUGCCCGGGCUGGAGUGAAGUGGCACAAUCAUGGCUCACUGCAGCCUUGACCUCCUGGGCACAAGUGAUCCUCCCACCUCAGCCUCCUGAGUAGCUGGGACCACAGGUGUGCACCACCACACCCAGCUAAGGAUACUGGCAAGGUCAAGACCCUGAAGGGCCAUCUCAUCCAUGAAAAAAAGACUAGUGUUACAUACAGAGAAGUGCACAGAGCAGAAGGGGAUGGCUAGCAAGUUACCACAAUGCCUGGCAGAGAAGCAGAACUCUGGACAUCAACGAGCCCUCCUGGCGCCCCGCCCUGCCCCCCCGGGGCUGCUCUGUUUUUCAUCUGG